GAGACACCCUUUUGGGGGCAGGACUUGCUUCAGUGGGGCUUUGGUGCUCACUGAGUCUGCCCCUUGAGUAUGUCGCU
rfam:Myotis davidii contig215097, whole genome shotgun sequence.